ACGGGUGCGUAACACGUGGGUAAUCUGCCCUGGAGCCCGGAAUAACUCGCCGAAAGGCGUGCUAAUGCCGGAUAAGACCACGGGAACUUCGGUUCCUGCGGGAAAAGGUGGCCUCUGUAUACAAGCUAUCUCUUCAGGAUGAGCCCGCGGCCCAUCAGCUAGUUGGCGGGGUAAUGGCCCACCAAGGCUACGACGGGUAGCUGGUCUAAGAGGACGAUCAGCCACACUGGAACUGAGACACGGUCCAGACUCCUACGGGAGGCAGCAGUGGGGAAUCUUGCGCAAUGGGCGAAAGCCUGACGCAGCAACGCCGCGUGUGCGAUGAAGGUCUUCGGAUCGUAAAGCACUGUCGGGAGGGACGAAUAAGGUGCCGGCUAACACUCGGCGCCGAUGACGGUACCUCCAAAGGAAGCACCGGCUAACUCUGUGCCAGCAGCCGCGGUAAUACAGAGGGUGCAAGCGUUGUUCGGAAUUAUUGGGCGUAAAGCGCGUGUAGGCGGUUCAGCAAGUCGGAUGUGAAAGCCCUCGGCUUAACCGAGGAAGGGCGUUCGAAACUACUGAACUUGAGUGCCGGAGAGGGUGGCGGAA
rnacentral:rRNA from 1 species